UUUCAAACACUUUUCCUUGCUCUUCAUAACCUACGGCCACACAUACAUAUAUUACAACUUAAUUAUUCCUUCAACUUUAAACCCCAAAUUCAAGGAUUCAAGACCCAUUGAAGAUGUAUUAAAAGGGUGCAAGACUAAGGAGCUUGGUUGGAGCUUAAAUCUCUUCUUAAUAUUCUUAUUUGGCUUAUGCAAAUUGUUGAUGAGGACGAUGCUAAGAAAAGAAAUAGCGUUGAUGCCUAG
rnacentral:lncRNA from 1 species